rnacentral:lncRNA from 1 species
UGUUUUUUUGUUGUUUUUUUUUUUUCAUUUCUUCACUCUCCUUUCCCAGGGUCGAUGGGACAAGAAUGGGCAGAAGAGCCACUCAAUUCUUUCAAGAAUGAAGGGAAGAAAAUGCCUUGAACCACAGACUAUUUCUAUUCUUUUAAGUAGGAGUCCAGAAAAUACCUGUAGAGCUGUGGCUUCUCUUUCUCUGAGCUCUGCCAAAGGUAUGAGCUGUUACGUAGCAGUUGCAUGUGAAGAGAAGACGGAGUGGAAGUCGUUGUCAGCGGAUCCUGUCCUAAGCUGGGCCUGAAGAGUUCAUCCAGCUGACUGGUGUGAGUACCCUGAAGGGAGGGGAAGGAGCAUGUCACUGGGAAAUCCUGACUUGAGGCACCAAAAUCGCAUCUGUCUCUUAUGACUUG